GCGCCCAUAGCUCAGCUGGUAGAGCAAUCGCCUUUUAAGCGAGCGGUCGUUGGUUCGAAUCCAACUGGGCGCA
rnacentral:tRNA from 1 species